GUGGGAUGGUCUUCUCUUCUGUUAUUUCAUAACAUAUCACUGUCCCAGAAAAAACACUGUGAACUGUUCAUGACAGAGGAUUGUGCUUAUUCAGUGACUGACUAAAACUAUGGCGUAUGUCCUGUUUGCCAAAAUUCCAUUUUAUUUUAAAGAAUCUGAUAUUGAUCAAGAACGUUUGGCUGGCAAGAAAAGGCUGUCCAUCCUCCUCAUCAUUGGUGCCUGCGCAAGUGUGGCAGCUCUAAUUUGGUUUGGCCAUAUUCUGUGGCGGCAUCGUAUGAACGGAUUCCGAAUCUCAGCCCUCAUGAUUAUGUUGCUCCUUAGUGACCUGUUGGAGCUGCUUCUGGAUCCAUACAUAGUGUCAAAACUACUCCAGGGUGAAAACUGCUGGUUAACAAGUAUGACAUGUCGGACAUUUACUUCUUUGUGGUCAGGGGCAAGAAACUUCGGUCUUCACCUAAAUGCAGUGGUAGUGCUGGAGAGUGUUCUCUCAAUAAGACAUCAAUUCUGCUCUGCUCAUGUUUUCUUUCCUUCAUGCUCCAUUAUAGUCUCAGUCGUUGUGUUCAUUUGUAUCUUCUUAUGUGAAUUUUUUGGCUUGCCUUUUCUUUAUAUCUCGAGUCUACCACUGUUGUUAGCUAUGAUAGCCAUGACAUGGAUAGUCACUUGUAGAACACCACCCCUCACAGAGGAAACCUCUCACAGUACCAGGAAGCCACCUUAUGUGUUGUUGGUUUUUUUAAUGUUCAUAGUUGUCCCAUAUAUGGUAUAUAUUGUCCUGUGUUUAUUUCUGUGGAAUUCCUGGGAACUUCGGGUGACUGGUAACUGUCUGAUGAGUUUAAGGAUUAUCUUAGACACUUUCCUUUGCAUACUGGUCUACAGGGAGAAUCUCAGUCAGACAACACAAACACCCACAGAGAACAACCCAGCUACAGAGAUGACACCAUCACAGAAUUCCGACAAAACACACAGCUCAGCAAUCUGAGGUGACCAGUUAGGGUUCCUCACUGUUCACAGCAGAAUCUUUUGUACUCGGAUGUGUACGCUGUCUUCUGUUUUGUCGUAUUCAGAGAGCAUUUCAUAACCCACCAUAGCAAAUUCUUGAGAAAAUGUAUCAAAAUCACCUCUCUGUCUAAAUAUAUCAUUUUUGUUUUUUUGGGGUUUUUGGGGGUUUUGGGUUGUUUUUUAUUUUUUCUGGUUGCGUUGUUAAUAUUGUUUGCUUAGUGAUAAAAUGGAAACCAACCUUACAAUG